rnacentral:rRNA from 1 species
AUUGAACGCUGGCGGCAGGCCUAACACAUGCAAGUCGAGCGGCAGCGGAAAGUAGCUUGCUACUUUGCCGGCGAGCGGCGGACGGGUGAGUAAUGUCUGGGAAACUGCCUGAUGGAGGGGGAUAACUACUGGAAACGGUAGCUAAUACCGCAUAACGUCGCAAGACCAAAGAGGGGGACCUUCGGGCCUCUUGCCAUCAGAUGUGCCCAGAUGGGAUUAGCUAGUAGGUGGGGUAACGGCUCACCUAGGCGACGAUCCCUAGCUGGUCUGAGAGGAUGACCAGCCACACUGGAACUGAGACACGGUCCAGACUCCUACGGGAGGCAACAGUGGGGAAUAUUGCACAAUGGGCGCAAGCCUGAUGCAGCCAUGCCGCGUGUAUGAAGAAGGCCUUCGGGUUGUAAAGCACUUUCAGCGGGGAGGAAGGUGUUGAGGUUAAUAACCUCAGCAAUUGACGUUACCCGCAGAAGAAGCACCGGCUAACUCCGUGCCAGCCGCCGCAGUAAAAC